rnacentral:rRNA from 1 species
GUGGGGAAUAUUGGACAAUGGGCGAAAGCCUGAUCCAGCAAAGCCGCGUGAGUGAUGAAGGCCUUAGGGUUGUAAAGCUCUUUUACCCGGGAUGAUAAUGACAGUACCGGGAGAAUAAGCUCCGGCUAACUCCGUGCCAGCAGCCGCGGUAAUACGGAGGGAGCUAGCGUUGUUCGGAAUUACUGGGCGUAAAGCGCACGUAGGCGGCUUUGUAAGUUAGUGGUGAAAGCCUGGAGCUUAACUCCAGAACUGCCUUUAAGACUGCAUCGCUUGAAUCCAGGAGAGGUGAGUGGAAUUCCGAGUGUAGAGGUGAAAUUCGUAGAUAUUCGGAAGAACACCAGUGGCGAAGGCGGCUCACUGGACUGGUAUUGACGCUGAGGUGCGAAAGCGUGGGGAGCAAACAGGAUUAGAAACCCGGGUAGUCC